GACGAACGCUGGCGGCGUGCUUAACACAUGCAAGUCGAGCGAUGAAGCACCUUCGGGUGUGAAUUAGCGGCGAACGGGUGAGGAACACGUGAGAAAUCUGCCUUCAACUCUGGGAUAACUCCGGGAAACCGGGGCUAAUACCGGAUAUGAGCCUUGAUCGCAUGAUCGGGGCUGGAAAGUUUUUCGGUUGAAGAUGAUCUCGCGGCCUAUCAGCUUGUUGGUGAGGUAAUGGCUCACCAAGGCGACGACGGGUAGCCGGCCUGAGAGGGCGACCGGCCACACUGGGACUGAGACACGGCCCAGACUCCUACGGGAGGCAGCAGUGGGGAAUAUUGGGCAAUGGAGGAAACUCUGACCCAGCGACGCCGCGUGAGGGAUGAAGGCCUUCGGGUUGUAAACCUCUUUCAGUAGGGAAGAAGCGAAAGUGACGGUACCUACAGAAGAAGCACCGGCUAACUAUGUGCCAGCAGCCGCGGUAA
rnacentral:rRNA from 1 species